GGAGGAAUGGCCUGAUGCUAAUGAUCAGGAAUGGCUGUUUAGCAGUAGUCAUUUGCUGUCAAAAAAGCCCAGCGGUGGUUCUCCCGGGGAUGAUGGAACACGGCAAGUAUGGGCAGAAGCUCUUCGGAUAGAGUCUGCAGACAUUUCAGCACUGCCAUAUGUCAUUCCUUACUGAUUUAUUGCGAAUGAUAGGACUUUCCCUUUCCACAAUUCCCCAACAUGGCUGUUAGCCUCCAGGGAACACCUGGGGAGGUAUGCUGACAUCUGGGUCUUGAUAUUAUCGGUCUGUUACUUCCUAUUCUUUUAUUGGUUGCCCAGC
rnacentral:misc_RNA from 1 species